CCUCUCUUAAGCUGCCAAGCCCAACAGCUCUUGGCAAAUUUAGCCAGUUAACUAGAACAACAUUAUUCUAACUACAAAUAGGAUUUUACAGCAGCAGCCUCUAUCAGGGGACAUGUGAUUAGCUCAAAGAGCUCCAUAUACAUCUGAUGCAUGUGUGUAGUGCUUUCAUACUCAACAUGACUGUGGUGGUGGCGUAUUCUGCAACAUCAGUGCAGCUGUAGCCUAGCUGGUGGUUUGUCAAAAUGCUAACAUUUUACACACUAAUACUGUUGAAAAAUCUCCCCAGUAUAUAAUGUGCCUACAGUGGCAUAACAAGCAAAUAAAAAGACUGUCUGAGA